rnacentral:rRNA from 1 species
AUACGGAGGGGACUAGCGUUGUUCGGAAUUACUGGGCGUAAAGAGUUCGUAGGCUGACUGAUAAGUAAGAGGUGAAAUCCCAGGGCUCAACCCUGGAACUGCCUUUUAAACUGUCAGUCUAGAGACCGGAAGAGGUUAGGGGAAUACCUAGUGUAGAGGUGAAAUUCGUAGAUAUUAGGUGGAACACCAGUGGCGAAGGCGCCUAACUGGUCCGGUACUGACGCUGAGGAACGAAAGCGUGGGGAGCAAACAGGAUUAGAAACCCUUGUAGUCC